rnacentral:rRNA from 1 species
UACGGAGGGUGCAAACGUUGCUCGGAAUCAUUGGGCGUAAAGCGCACGUAGGCGGUCCGUUAAGUCGGGCGUGAAAGCCCUCGGCUCAACCGAGGAAGUGCUUUCGAAACUGGCGGACUUGAAUACUGGAGAGGAUCGCGGAAUUCCCGGUGUAGAGGUGAAAUUCGUAGAUAUCGGGAGGAACACCGGUGGCGAAGGCGGCCUGCUGGACGGAUACUGACGCUGAGACGCGAAAGCGUGGGGAGCAAACAGG